UUAUGUCGACGGUGGCGGUGUUCAUACACGUGUGGGUAUCAUUAAGACAUUGUUACAGUGGGGACCAAAUCCCCACUUUUAGGGGUAGGUGUGACCUUUGAAGAGGGGAUGGGGUUCAUUUCAUUUGAUCAUCCCAAAUCUAACAAUUUUCUUUACUUAGAUUUGGAGAAGAGAUCCAAUUAUGUGAAGCUAGGUGGAGACUACACACUUCUUUCUCUUUACAGUUAAUCCCUGCCCCAUUUUUAUGAGUAGGCAAAGUACAAGUUAACAACGACAUGUUUACUCCUUAUUGGAUUUCC
rnacentral:lncRNA from 1 species